rnacentral:rRNA from 1 species
GAUGAACGCUAGCUACAGGCUUAACACAUGCAAGUCGAGGGACCGGCGCACGGGUGAGUAACACGUAUCCCUCCUGCCCUUUACUCGGUGAUAGCCUUUCGAAAGAAAGAUUAAUACCCGAUAUAAAGGAUGGGGAUGCGUUCCAUUAGGUUGUUGGUGAGGUAACGGCUCACCAAGCCUUCGAUGGAUAGGGGUUCUGAGAGGAAGGUCCCCUACGUUGGAACCGAGGCCCGGUCCAAACUCCGACGGGAGGCAGGAGUGAGGUAGAUUGGGCAAUGGGCGCUAGCCUGAACCAGCCAAGUAGAGUGAAGGAUGAAUGCUUAUGGGUCGUAAACUUCUUUUAUAUAAGAAUAUGUAUUAUAUGAAUAAGGAUCGGCUAACUCCGUGCCAGCAGCCGCGGUAAUAC